GGGAGCCACCUCAUGGUCCUUAUAAAUCAUUUAGCUACCCAUGGAAGAAUUAUGUCAAAGUAAGUGGUGCACUAAGGCAUUGUGCAUUCAUGGUCAUGGCACUUCAUGGGUGUAUACUUUCGGAGAUACAGGCUCCUGCUGAGAGAAGACAAGUAUUUUCUCAGGAGUUGCGAAGGGUAGGAGCUGAAGGGGCUAAACUGCUGCGUGAACUUGGGAACAAAGUGAAAAAGAUGGAGAAACUGGGUUCAGUAGACAUUCUUUAUCAGGUGCAUGAGGCUGCGGAAGAGUUGCAAAACAAGGUGGACAGGAAAUCAUAUCUUCUUGUCAAUUCAGAGAGCUGGGAAAUUGGAAAGUCAGCAAAGGAUCUAGGUGAGCCCCAAGACUUGCUGAACUUUGAUGAUGAGGUGAGUGUGAAUAAAGUCCUGCAACACAAAUCCCACAGUGAAGCUGUGCUGAAUCUCAGAUCAUUGACCAUACCAAAAAGUUGGGAUGGUCAGAAGCCACCUGUCAAGGACUCAAAGCUCCCCUUGCCUCCAGCUCCAGGUCUUUCCUCUGAUUCCAUGUUUAAGAAACAGAUCUCCUGGCCUGCACGUAUUUCAUUUGCCGCUGAUGCACUGCCACAGGUGGAAGAAUCAAAAACAUAUGAAAGUGCAAGCGCAUUGAGUCUGGCUACAUUUACAUCACUUUUGAUUGAGUUUGUUGCAAGGUUGCAAAAUCUUGUGGACUCAUUUAAAGAAUUAAGUGAGAAAGCAAAUUUUAAAGAACCAGAUGAGCUACUAUCCACAGGAGUGGCAGAGCCUAUGGGGUUCUGGACUAGAUUGCUCAGAAGUAUGAAGUUCUGGAAUUAAUUUAAGUGUUAACAUGGUUAAAGAUCUUGAAGGGCAGAAAUUCUGAGAAGGAUCAUUACUGGAUGUCUGGAUCAUAGUUCAGUCUCACUCUUAUGGAAUUUGUAUAUUAUAUGCUCUGAAACACAAUAAAUACUCAGUUUUGAUGUUGACUUGGGAUUAAGUCGCAGGAACAAAUUCAUCGUCUGAUUCCAGUUGCUGUCCAAGGAAUGCUGAAAUUUAGGAAUGUGUCAUGCAGCCACUUAAGGUGUUGGAUAAUCUCUUCUUAGGACUUAAUAUGGAUUGGUAGCAGCUUGCAGUUCAUGAACUUAUAGUGCAACUGCAAAAUGAGAAUGGAGCAGACUCGAUAGAAGAUGUACCUUGGACAUAGAUUAUGCAUUCAUGGGUCCCUGCAUAUGAAUGUUGGGGCAAAAGUUUUGACAUCUAAAUAUAUUUUGUAUUUAAGACAGAAUUCUCUCUCUCUCUGGUCAAGAUGCUUUAUGCCUGCAACUGUUAGCGUCUCCAUUAACUUUGUUCCCAUGGAGAGCAGCUAUUCCCAUGUUAUGAGCAAACCUUCCGUAAUUGCCAUGCCAUGAACUGUGCAGGGUAACAUGGUAGUGGCCUUGCCAGUUCAAAGUUAUAUAUGUAUUGGAUGAAUAACUAUUUGCCCUUGAGAUUAGGUCAUAAUUAUUAGUAGGACCUUAUUUUUUUGAAAAUUGAACUAAUUGGUCACUCACAUUUGAUUUAGUGAAAUGUUCUGACUUGUGAGAGAAGGGACAUGAAAUGCAUAGCACAAAAUUACCUCUCAAAGAAAAUUAUUUUAUAAACAAA
rnacentral:misc_RNA from 1 species